rnacentral:rRNA from 1 species
AGUGAACGCUGGCGGUAGGCCUAACACAUGCAAGUCGAACGGCAGCACAGUAAGAGCUUGCUCUUACGGGUGGCGAGUGGCGGACGGGUGAGGAAUACAUCGGAAUCUACUUUUUCGUGGGGGAUAACGGAGGGAAACUUACGCUAAUACCGCAUACGACCUACGGCUGAAAGCAGGGGAUCUUCGGACCUUGCGCGAUUGAAUGAGCCGAUGUCGCAUUAGCUAGUUGGCGGGGUAAAGGCCCACCAAGGCGACGAUCCGUAGCUGGUCUGAGAGGAUGAUCAGCCACACUGGAACUGAGACACGGUCCAGACUCCUACGGGAGGCAGCAGUGGGGAAUAUUGGACAAUGGGCGAAAGCCUGAUCCAGCCAUACCGCGUGGGUGAAGAAGGCCUUCGGGUUGUAAAGCCCUUUUGUUGGGAAAGAAAAGCAGCAGGUUAAUACCCCGCUGUUCUGACGGUACCCAAAGAAUAAGCACCGGCUAACUUCGUG